rnacentral:rRNA from 1 species
CAGUCGCCGCGGUAAUACGAAGGGUGCAAGCGUUAAUCGGAAUUACUGGGCGUAAAGCGUGCGUAGGUGGUGAGUUAAGUCUGCUGUGAAAUCCCCGGGCUCAACCUGGGAAUGGCAGUGGAUACUGGCUCGCUAGAGUGUGUCAGAGGAUGGUGGGAUUCCCGGUGUAGCGGUGAAAUGCGUAGAGAUCGGGAGGAACAUCAGUGGCGAAGGCGGCCAUCUGGGACAACACUGACGCUGAGGCACGAAAGCGUGGGGAGCAAACAGGAUUAGAUACCCGUGUAGUCCCUGUCUCUUAUAA